GGGAGGUGCGGCGGCCAGCCCGGGCUGAACCACUCAGCGAGACGGGGGUCCUUCCGGCCGCCUCGCCUUUGGACGCCUUGUCACUGGGAGCCAGUGACUCUCGGCCAUGUGGAGGUGGCCAUGUUGGCUGGCCCGCGGGCGCGUCUUCGCACGGCCGUUUUCUUCCCACCCUACUCUCCGCCGGCGGGUGGAACUGCUGAGGGGCGCCGGCCCAGUUGUUAGUAAUUUCUUGGUUAAUGGCUUCCUUGAAAACGGCUGGAAAGAGAAUUAAUGAGAGUGCUGCCAUCGAUUUAAACAGCGCCAUCCUCUCCUCAGCGUGUCACCUUUCCCUGACCCUGAUGUGGAGGCCACACGCUGUCUUCUGUCAGAAAGGAGGCCACUGCUGAGGCUGCCCUGGCCUGUCUGGCUUUCCUGUGUCUCUGAGAAGACAAAAAAGAAAAUCGGGGUUAAGUGAUUUCAAUCUUUUGUUGAAGAUAGUAUUGAACGAGUAUUUCUUUUUCUUGGGAGGAAAGUCCCCAUGCACGCCCUUGAAUGUGCUUUGGAAGGUCUCUUCGCAGGGGAAACGGUCUGUUCUUGCACGAAGCUUUCACUUUAAAAUGUCCACCUGCGCUUGUCCUAGUUUUGCCCAUUAAUGGAAUUACAGAGAGACAGGGAAAAGGAGCGAAACGAAACAUGAGCCGACAAGGAGUAGGGGAAUCGGGAAGCGAUUUCGUGGCGUCCCUGAGAGGAGGGAAGCAUGGGAAGGGUGGGUGUCAUGGUGGCCCUCAGCGCCAGGGGAGUGACAAGAACACCAGGACUCGUGAUGUUCCUAGGAGAUCGCCUGCUCCGAGCGUAGGUCGCACUUUAUCCUGGGGAGGUGGACACAUCCCUUGUAACGAACGGCCUUCAGCUGCCUAUCGCUAGAAUUAGGUAAAUUAUGAAGAAAAUGCCUCUAGGUAAAAGGUGUAUUCGGGGGAGAAAAGAUGGGAAUUUGCAGAAGAAAACAAAGGAAGCACUUGAACUGUGCUAAGGGCUUCAACAAAGAAGGACAAAGAGAGUCUCAUCUCUAGACUUUUCGACCAGGCAGCCAGAGAAGGUUAUAUGCAAAAAGAGGCAAUAGUUUAUUCUUACUGGUUGUUUUUUUACUUUUCAAACUAAUCCUUCAUGGAAAAUAACUAUAAUACUGUUUCAUCAUUUUUUGCUUUAGAGUUAUUUCACUUUUUAAAAAGAAUACCAUUUUAUUAACCCACAAUAAUAGAAUUGUCAAUUGAAGCUGCAUGUGUAGGCUGGUCAGUGCAUUAUCUGCUAGCAGAAAAAUCUAUACAGGAAGCCAGGAUAUAAUUCAAAGAUUAUUUUGUUAAUAGGCAGAAAUAUAAUUAGGUUAGUUUACUAAUAGGGAAACCAAAGAAGGAGAUUACAUGGUUGGCUCAUUAAAUCCUGAUGCCUUUUUGCUACCAACUCCACAGUGGGCUCUUCCUGCCAAGUCUGAGGUAAAAAGAGGUUGUUUGCUCAACAGUUAAAUGUCAGGGACAGGACUGCAAAACCCUACUCUUAAUCACUGUAUUUUACCCUUACCUAGAGCAAGAAAGAGAAGUAGGUACAGCUGAUCUAAUCUCCUUGCCAGGAAAAGCCCACUGUAGAGUUGGUAGCAAAGAGGCAUCGGACAAAAUUCCGCUCUUUUACAUUAGGUUUCUUUUAGUAGCAGUUCAAUUUAUUAAAUUGUUGCAUCAAAACAAAGCAGAAGCCUGGCAUGUUGGCAACCCUGUAAUCCCAGGAGGAUGAAAAUUGGAGGCAAGCCUGCACUACAUACUGUAUGUAGCAAGACCCUGUCUCAAAAAAACAAAGAGCCAGAUGAGGUUGUACACAUCUGAAAUCCCAGCACUUGGGGUGCUGAAGCAGGAGGAUCACUGAGAGUUUGAGAGGCCAGUUUGCACUACAAAGCAAGAUCCUAUUUAAAAGAAAAAACAAAAACAGCUUGAACUCCAUAGUGAGACCCUGUCUCAAAAAACCAAACCGAAACAAAAAAACCAAAACAACAACAAAGCCCAACUCAUUUUCAUUGAUUUUAUAUUAUUAACAUUAUCCAUUGCCUUCUUCCAUAAGUAUUUACAUCUGUGAGGCAUACCCAGGUACUAAUGCGAUGAAAGUCCUGAUUGCUGCCUAUUUCAGGCUCUAAAUGCAGAUGCCUGGCUAACUUCUUACCCUUUCCUUCCCAGGUCAGCUGCUACUUCCUGGGUGAAGCUUUCACUUACAGAGAUUUCUCACAAGGUUCUGUGUUUUCUUUCAUGGCACUAAGAGCAGCUUGCAAUUACAGAUUUGACGGGGGUUUUUUUGGAUAAAUGACUCCAAUUCCUAGUUAGGUUUGUAAACUCCAUGAUAAAGUGGUUUGAGUUUGUGAAGUUUUACCUUGAAUGCCUGGCGCAUACAAGGUGCUUAAGAGUGUUUGGGUGGUAGUAGGAGAAGGGAGAGGAAGAAAGAAGACAAAAGGAUUAUGAAUAUAAGGGAUGGUAGAAGAAAGUAGGGAAACCCUUGAGCUCAUGUGAAAUAACGUCCUGCUUUGUUGCAGUCACAAACAUUAUAAUUAAUAAAAUUGAGAACUCUACCAACAGAGAAACAUGGCCAUCCUGUUCCAAGAAGAAUGAGAUUUCUGGACUGAGGAUUUAGCUCAGUGGUUUCGCUGCCUGCCUUGCAAGCGCAAGGACCCAAGUUCGAUCCCCGGUACAAAAAAAAAAAACAAUGAGAUUUCUCAUUUCAUAGGUUAGUGCUUUGAGGGUAAAAUAAAUCAGGAGGAGUAAUUGGUUUAGUUCAUAUUUAGCAUUAAUGAGAUUUGUUGAAUGUGAAAUACUGGAAAGGAAAAAAUCUAAUCACGGCCUAAAGACUCCAGAUUUGUCAACCCACAAAGCAUCAAUGUAGCAAUACCCCAGUGAAAGCAGCAAAGUUGGGAUAAAUAAGCUGGUAACUGUGACUCAACAAGGAUAACAACUCUAGGUCUUAUCAGUCUACCAAUCUGGUAAGGGAGAAAGUUCCAGUAAAUCAAACCUCUAAGAGCUUCUGGCAAGAAGACCACAAGGCAAGAGGAUCACAAG
ensembl:lncRNA